GGCAGGCCAGGAAGAUGGCCACUGCAGCUUACAGACAGCUCUGGAGGUGUAGACAAACACGCAGCAUAGCCUUAGGAGGACCACCACAUUCUCUGUUUGGCAAGGAUGGGGUUCAGGACAUGCUGCUCCAAAAUGUGUUCCCCAGCAUGUGAGAGGAGAGCAGAGGCAGCAAAACCUGUAUGACUCCUCAACACAAACACAUUACUGGGGCCCGUGCAACAUGUCCAGUCCUUCCUGAGACCUGGGGACCGAGGUGGAGAGCUGUACUAGUGAG
rnacentral:lncRNA from 1 species